CAGCCAGAGGUCUUAGCCUCUCCAGCCCCUUGUCAGUGUUUUUAUUUGGAGUAAAGCAGACAUGGUUUAGGAUUUGUGUAAUCCUGACCAAUGAAACAACACUUAUGCUCUCAAAAAUCCACACCCAAAUCUUAUGCUGGCAUUUAAUUAAAAUAUUUAUCCAGGGCAGAGAGGCCGUGGCACACACCUUUAAUCCCAGCACUCAGGAGGCAGAGGCAGGCAGAUCCUAGAGUUCGAGUCCAGCCUGGUCUACAGAGUGAGUUCCAGGAACCCAGGGCUACACAGAGAAGCACUUUCUCUAAACACUCAAACCACCAAAAACAAAAACAAAAAUUAUCCAGAAAAACUCAGUUUAAUAAGCCUCCACAAACUAGAACCUGCAAUAUCAUUUUCUUCUUCUAAGUCACACACGCUGCUUUGGGCGCUGGGACCUCUGAUUCAUGGAGAAUAUGUUAGGGUUGGCUUUCUAUAUCUUUUGUCACAGAAGAUUUCUGCUUUGUUUAAUAUUUAAUAAGACUAAAUUAAUUUUAGUGUCUUUGUAUUCAUAGCAACAAAAGUCUGGUAGAACUGAUUUCCAAGGCUUCCGUUCAAACAGCGAUGGCAAAAAGUAUGAAGUUAAGUCUUCACUGCUUCCGAUUAGCCUACAUCAGGAAAAGAUAAUGAUUCUCCCUAAGAUAUCAAACUCAAUAUUCAAUUUUAUUGUGAGUGGGGACAAUAAUGACCAAUGUCACUGUGGUCAGAUGCAGAGAUUCAGCAAUGCAAUCUAGCUUUUCUAUCUCUGGAGAGACAUCUUUCCACUCGUGCGACUCAAGGAGUACCUGACCCAUUCGGAUACUUUGCACCCUGCCGGGUGAAACCCCUCUACGGUCUACGUCACUUGAGUUAGUGACCACCGGUUCAUGCAAGUCCCCGGGACCUGAUGGGCAUCCCGAGGUGGGUAGCGACUGAUGGUCUUGGCUUCCUGCCCCUUGCAAGGUGCGCCUGGACCCUUGCCUUCAGCCCUCGGUCUGGCCAUUCCUGCACGCCAUGCCCGGUGCCCUGGACUAACUCUUCUUGGUUUCGGGUCAGCCAAGGUGCGGAACCGUCCCGGGCGCGCCAUCCGAGCUCGGCGGGCUGCGCGGCGGUCCCCGGGCGGGGCGGGCGCGGGUCCGAGCGGCCGAGGCGAGGCGCGGGCGGAGCAUGUGACCACGGCGCGCGGGGCUGGGCGCGCAGUGCCGCGCGGUGGCAGCGGCGGGGAGAGCAAUGGAGGCCGCGGGCGCCUGAGAGCUGGCCGCGCUGCUGCUGGGGCUGCUGCAGCCGAGGCUCGGCGGGCUGGGACGUCCCCGGGACGCGCGUCGCCCGUCAUCCCUCCCUCCACCGUGGCGCCCGGUGAAAGCGCAGGUGAAAACAAGAAAAGAAAGGGCAGAAAGGAGGGACCAGAAGAAUCUCAUGCUUCAAAGAAUUCUUUCCUAGAAGAUACUUCUGUGACUUCUAUUUACACUUUAUUGGCCAGAAAGUGUCAUGGCUGUGCAUAGCUGCAAGAGAGUCUGGAAAAGUAUUUAGCUUCCCAGCACCUACAACCAGAUACAGACUAAACACAGUGUGGAUUACUUUUGUAUACUCAAACUACACAUUCCCAAGAGCUGUGAUUUCCAGGCUGUCUCGGUGUUGCACCCCGGUUCCUGACGCACACACCCCCACGCGUGGGUCUGCUUUUUCACAAGAAGGAGAGUUUGGUGGAGAUUUACCCAGCAGAAGUAAUAGGAUUUGUGGCCCUU